rnacentral:rRNA from 1 species
UGGGGAAUUUUGGACAAUGGGCGAAAGCCUGAUCCAGCAAUGCCGCGUGUGUGAAGAAGGCCUUCGAGUUGUAAAGCACUUUUGUCCGGAAAGAAAUCCUUGGCUCUAAUACAGUCGGGGGAUGACGGUACCGGAAGAAUAAGCACCGGCUAACUACGUGCCAGCAGCCGCGGUAAUACGUAGGGUGCAAGCGUUAAUCGGAAUUACUGGGCGUAAAGCGUGCGCAGGCGGUUUGCUAAGACCGAUGUGAAAUCCCCGGGCUCAACCUGGGAACUGCAUUGGUGACUGGCAGGCUAGAGUAUGGCAGAGGGGGGUAGAAUUCCACGUGUAGCAGUGAAAUGGCGUAGAGAUGUGGAGGAAUACCGAUGGCGAAGGCAGCCCCCUGGGCCAAUACUGACGCUCAUGCACGAAAGCGUGGGGAGCAAACAGGAUUAGAUACCCUGGUAGUCCACGCCCUAAACGAUGUCAACUAGUUGUUGGGGAUUCAUUUCCUUAGUAACGUAGCUAACGCGUGAAGUUGACCGCCUGGGGAGUACGGUCGCAAGAUUAAAAGCUCAAAUG